rnacentral:lncRNA from 10 species
AUGGCUAAGAAUCAAGUAGUUGCACAUCAAAAUGUGAUUUUUUCUUGCUUCCUGGCACAGGACCCGUAUCUGUCAUCAUUUCAUGUCCUCAAAGGCCUGAGAGAAGCUGCCAUCCUUGGGCAACAAAGGAUGCCAUGCAAAGCAGCUCAGAACUUGAGUUGUUUCAACAGAUGCUGUUUUAUGUUUUGCCAAAGAAUGGCCCCUUUUAUUUCUGUCAUGAAUGCAGUCUUUCUUUCAGUUUCUAAAUGUUUUCCAGUAUUAACCCUAAUCCUUAUCUAUCAUUCUUUUAGGAUGAUGGGCUGUCCCUUUUCCUUUGGAACCAGCAUAACCUUCACCAUGUCAAUAUGGAUUGCAAAGAAAUGGAAACUUGGUGCUGUUCACCUUACAGCUCCUGAUGAUUUCUUACAGUGGGGGAAAGGGAGAUUGGACUUCAAGGUCAGAGUAGCUGAACCAAGUUAUUCCAAUGUCAAAUUGAACAAGUUCUGCGCCUUAUGCUCCAAGAGACCCAAGAUAAAGAAUAUCAUAAUUUUUCAAACCAGAUGCCCACGUAGAGAUACUUAUUUGGGAAUCUACCUCUGCAAUACUCUUUCAGUGAAGCCAAAUUAUUCCUGCAGUGAAUUCUUUUGAUAAAAGCAGAUUUUUUUCCAGGUUUGGCCAAAAGAUACGUUCUAUUUGGUUUACACAAUAUUAUUGUUGGAAGUAUGAGUUACAUGCAGUCAAAUGCACAGAUCUGGUGUUUGACUUGAUGAAUU